rnacentral:rRNA from 1 species
UCCUGGCUCAGGACGAACGCUGGCGGCGUGCCUAAUACAUGCAAGUCGUACGCUUCUUUUUCCACCGGAGCUUGCUCCACCGGAAAAAGANGAGUGGCGAACGGGUGAGUAACACGUGGGUAACCUGCCCAUCAGAAGGGGAUAACACUUGGAAACAGGUGCUAAUACCGUAUAACAAUCGAAACCGCAUGGUUUUGAUUUGAAAGGCGCUUUCGGGUGUCGCUGAUGGAUGGACCCGCGGUGCAUUAGCUAGUUGGUGAGGUAACGGCUCACCAAGGCCACGAUGCAUAGCCGACCUGAGAGGGUGAUCGGCCACAUUGGGACUGAGACACGGCCCAAACUCCUACGGGAGGCAGCAGUAGGGAAUCUUCGGCAAUGGACGAAAGUCUGACCGAGCAACGCCGCGUGAGUGAAGAAGGUUUUCGGAUCGUAAAACUCUGUUGUUAGAGAAGAACAAGGAUGAGAGUAACUGU